GGGACAACAGUUGGAAACGACUGCUAAUACCGCAUAAGCCCACGGAUCCGCAUGGAUCUGCGGGAAAAGGAUUUAUUCGCUCUAGGAUGGACUCGCGUCCAAUUAGCUAGUUGGUGAGGUAACGGCCCACCAAGGCGACGAUCGGUAGCCGGACUGAGAGGUUGAACGGCCACAUUGGGACUGAGACACGGCCCAGACUCCUACGGGAGGCAGCAGUGGGGGAUAUUGCACAAUGGGGGAAACUCUGAUGCAGCGACGCCGCGUGGAGGAAGAAGGUUUUCGGAUUGUAAACUCCUGUCGUUAGGGACGAUAAUGACGGUACCUAACAAGAAAGCACCGGCUAACUACGUGCCAGCAGCCGCGGUAAAACGUAGGGUGCAAGCGUUGUCCGGAAUUACUGGGUGUAAAGGGAGCGCAGGCGGACCGGCAAGUUGGAAGUGAAAACUAUGGGCUCAACCCAUAAAUUGCUUUCAAAACUGCUGGCCUUGAGUAGUGCAGAGGUAGGUGGAAUUCCCGGUGUAGCGGUGGAAUGCGUAGAUAUCGGGAGGAACACCAGUGGCGAAGGCGACCUACUGGGCACCAACUGACGCUGAGGCUCGAAAGCAUGGGUAGCAAACAGGAUUAGAUACCCUGGUAGUCCAUGCCGUAAACGAUGAUUAAUAGGUGUUGGAGGACUGACCCCUUCAGUGCCGCAG
rnacentral:rRNA from 1 species